AUUGGAAAGAAGCUAAUGCACAUACAUCAAGUGAAGAUUGGGAGUAAAGACUGCUGAUCAAUGGGAUCUCUGUGAGCGGAGCGACGGGCUGGAAAAAUAAAUCAAGUGAAGAAUCAUCAUUAAAAGACUGGUAUGUCGGAGUGAAACGGAAAGGAGGGGGAGAAAAAAACUUUUCUUUUUGUGUCUUAUGUGAGUACCAAUAACCCUCCCCUCCAGAGAGAAGAAUCGUUGCGAUUAUUAAUCACAAGCAGGAGACCAAGAACUGUGUGGGAAUGAAUUACUGAUUAAAGAGAGGACUGGUGGAAACAUCGGGGAAUGGAAGGAAAGUUUUAUGACGCAGUUAUAAAUGGAGUUUCGUGAGACAGGCUUGCCUAAGGAGGACGAGAGGGAGGAGAACCAGGGUCAUUGGAAUGUGAAUGUAUGGUUAUUGGAAUGUUAUCUUGACCUGGCAGGGCCCUCUGAGAUAUAGAUUGGCAAGCCUGUGAAUCAACGGACAGACUGUGGGAAUAUUUUUAACGGAGGUGUGGAAAUGGUGUCUGUCCUUUAUGUGAUAUGACUAUUGGAGAGUGUAAAACCCACACAGGAGAUGUUUGUCUUUCACCCGCUUGUGAAGAUUAUCAGAGAUCACAAAGAAAGGAAUAUAUGAUAACAACAAGAAGAUGAAGAAAAUAACAAAAAGACUAUCUGGACAGAACUGGAUAGAACUGUUUAAUCAAAGCAGCAGCAAGAGUGAUGUUUGGACCCCUUUCGGAGCUUGAAGUAUGGGUAACCCCAACAAAAAUUUUAAAAAUUUGGCUGUAUAAUUUGGAAUUAAUGUGAUUUAAUUGGCCUGUUAAUAAAAAUUAUUUAAAAAAACCACCAAACAAACCACAGAGCCUAGGGCUUGCUGAUCAGAAGGUCGGCGGUUCGAAUCCCCGCGACGGGGUGAGCUCCCGUUGCUCGGUCCCUGCUCCUGCCAACCUAGCAGUUUGAAAGCAUAUCAAAGUGCAAGUAGAUAAAUAGGUACCGCUCCGGCGGGAAGGUAAACGGUGUUUCCGUGCGCUGCUCUGGUUCACCAGAAGUGGCUUAGUCAUGCUGGCCACAUGACCCGGAAGCUGUACGCCGGCUCCCUCGGCCAGUAAAGCGAGAUGAGCACCACAACCCCAGAGUCGGCCACGACUGGACCUAAUGGUCAGGGGUCCCUUUACCUUUACCUUACCCUUGGCUAAACGGUAACAUGUUUAACAUCUGAAUCAUACAGAGGAAACUUGCUUAAGGUCGAUAGGGAAGGAAUUCCAUAAAUUGGCACUGCCACACUAAAUGCUCUCCUCCUGGUCGUUGUAGAGAGACCACUGUUUGACACUGUUAGCAGUGCCUUCCAUUGACAGGCAUAGUGUUCAAGUAGAGUUCAUGGAACAAUACAAUAUUCUAACACUUCCCAGGAAAUUAAGAAAGUGGAUCAAAGAUUCUUCAUGUACGCCACAGCUGCAGCAAGAAAUAUGCUUGCCCCAAACUGGAAAUUGCAAGAAAUUCCCACUAUUGCGGAGUGGCAGACGAAAAUGAUGAGUUAUGCAGAGUUAGCCAAACUGACGGGAAAAAUUCAAGACCAGGACGACCAGAGGUUUCAAGAAAGUUGGAGUAAAUUUAUCAUGUAUAUAAAAGGCAAUUGUAAAGCUUUAAAAACACUGGCAGGUUUGAAAUAGCUCUUAUAAUGUAUGGCAGAUAUGGUAAAUAAAUAGAAUACGUGAUACAAGAAAAUAAGGGAUACUCGCUGAAGGGAUGGAGGGAAGUUGCAAGCUCGGCAGAGCUAAAGUAUUUAUGUGAUUUACUGUAUUGUAUUGUAAAAGUAUGUUUAAGGAAAAUAAUAAAAAUUUAUUUGAGAAAAAGACAAUAUUCUAACACUUCCCAGUAACAUCUGGCUUUCUAGAUUUAAUUGGGCAUUGUCUUGUUCCAUGAACCCUACUUGAAAAGAAAUCGACUGGAUAUCACUAAACGAGGUGACUUGAGACUGCAGCUGACAAAAUUGGUGUUUAAUAUGAAAUCUCUCUGCAGCAGGCAUGAAGCACAAGGAUCUAACUAGCGAGCUCAAAUUGUAUUUUGAAUUUGUUAGGUACCUUUAUUUUAUUGUAUUGUAUAGCAUUUAAAAUGAUCAAAGUAUUAAAGAAAAAGCUUUCAUUAAAAUUAUUUUAUAUUUAUGCAUUUCAGUUCUCUAUUAUAUUUUUUGAAACUUGAUUUGCUAUUUUUUCAUAUCACUUCAUAUUACAAUUAAUUUUUUAACAAUUUCUUAGUGAUUUCUCCCUCGGUACUUCAACCAUCCUUUCGUUCUUUUAUUUUUCUCUUUCAUGGAUGCCAUGUUCUUUGGGAGCUUGUUUAGACCAGGUUAAUGGCCUUUUAGGCUUCUUCCAUGUGAACAGCAGUUCACUUUUUGAAUCAUAAGAAUUUUAUGUCACUGAGGGAGGGGAGCAUAAGGAUUUUAGAGAUGCUUAGGUGGGGCAUGGCCAAAAAAAGGUUGGGAACCACUGUUCUAACCUCUUCCUAUCUUGCUUGUUUUCCAUAGAAAUGGAUGCUUGUUGUAUGGAAGGACAUUCAACGAGAUGUGUCCAAACUUGUUGCCUCAAGUGACAGAGCCUAGGCAUGUGUUUACCACCUCAGUAAGAACCAGGACUAAGAACAACAAGGCCC